GAACAAGUACAGUGAUGGAAAGAUGAAAAGAACUUUGAAAAGAGAGUGAAAAAGUACGUGAAAUUGUUGAAAGGGAAGGGCAUUUGAUCAGACAUGGUGUUUUGCGCCCUCUGCUCCUUGUGGGUGGGGGAAUCUCGCAGCUCACUGGGCCAGUAUCAGUUGUUGCAGCAGCGGGAGAAGGCACUCCAGAAAGUGGCUCUUCUUCCGUAGGUGAACCUGCGGGAAUACUGCCAGCUGGGACUGACGACUGCGACGU
rnacentral:rRNA from 1 species